CCUACGGGAGGCAGCAGUGGGGAAUAUUGGACAAUGGGGGGAACCCUGAUCCAGCCAUGCUGCGUGUGUGAAGAAGGCCCUCGGGUUGUAAAGCACUUUCAGUGAGGAAGAACGCCUGGUGGUUAAUACCCAUCAGGAAAGACAUCACUCACAGAAGAAGCACCGGCUAACUCCGUGCCAGCAGCCGCGGUAAUACGGAGGGUGCGAGCGUUAAUCGGAAUUACUGGGCGUAAAGCGCGCGUAGGUGGCUUGAUAAGCCGGUUGUGAAAGCCCCGGGCUCAACCUGGGAACGGCAUCCGGAACUGUCAAGCUAGAGUGCAGGAGAGGAAGGUAGAAUUCCCGGUGUAGCGGUGAAAUGCGUAGAGAUCGGGAGGAAUACCAGUGGCGAAGGCGGCCUUCUGGACUGACACUGACACUGAGGUGCGAAAGCGUGGGUAGCAAACAGGAUUAGAUACCCGAGUAGUC
rnacentral:rRNA from 1 species